rnacentral:tRNA from 1 species
GUGGUUAUAACUUAGUGGUAGAGUGCUUGCCUCACAUGUAUGAGUCACUGGGUUCGACCCUCAGCACCACA